rnacentral:rRNA from 1 species
AUUCGAUUGGAAACAGGUGCUAAUACCGAAUAAAACUUAGUAUCGCAUGUUAUCAAGUUAAAAGGCGCUACGGCGYCACCUAGAGAUGGAUCCGCGGUGCAUUAGUUAGUUGGUGGGGUAAAGGCUUACCAAGACGAUGAUGCAUAGCCGAGUUGAGAGACUGAUCGSCCACAUUGGGACUGAGACACGGCCCAAACUCCUACGGGAGGCUGCAGUAGGRAAUCUUCCACAAUGGGCGCAAGCCUGAUGGAGCAACGCCGCGUGUGURAUGAAGGCUUUCGGGUCGUAAAGCACUGUUGUAUGGRAAGAAAUGCUAAAAUAGGGAAUGAUUUUAGUUUGACGGUACCAUACCAGAAAGGGACGGCUAAAUACGUGCCAGCAGCCGCGGUAAUACGAUAAUCACUAGUGAAUUCGCGGCCGCCUGCAGGUCGACCAUAUG